CGAGUAAAGUGGCGAAAGGGUGAGUAACAGUUGGAUAACCUGCCCUGAAGAGGAGGAUACACACUCGGGAAACCGUUGCUAAUACUCCUAUAAGACCACGGAUAUGCGUAUCCGGGGUAAAAGGAGUUACCGCUUCAGGAGGGGUUCAAUGACUAUCAGCUUGUUGGUGAGGUAAUGGCUCACCAAGGCGGCGACGGUUACCUGGUCUGAGAGGAUGUCCAGGCACAUUGGGACUGAGACACUGUCCAAACACCUACGGGUGGCUGCAGUUCGGAAUAUUCCACAAUGCGCGAAAGCGUGAUGGAGCGACGCCGCGUGUGUGACGAAGGCCCUCGGGUUGUAAAGCACUGUCAGGAGCUAGCAAAUGGAAACUUGAGUUAAACUCCAGAGGAAGGACCGGCUAACUACGUGCCAGUAGACGCGGUAACACGUAGGGUCCAAACGUUGUUCGGUGUCACUGGGCUUAAAGGGCUCGCAUGCGGUCUGUUAAGUGAUAUGUGAAAUCCCGCGGCUCACCCGCGGACGUGCAUUUCAUACUGGCAGACUAAAGGCAUGCAGAGGUAAGGGGAAUCCUUGGUGUAACGGUGACAUGCACAGAUAUCAAGGAGAAGACCGGUGGCGAAGGCGCCUGACUGGGCAUGACCUGACGCUCAUGAGCGGAAGCGUGGGGAGCAAACAGGAUUAGAUACCCUGGUAGUCCACGCUGUAAACGAUGUACACUAGGUAGGGGAGAUAACGAGUUUUCCCUGCCGUAGCGAAAGCGUUAAGUGUACCGCCUGGGGAGUAUGGUCGCAAGGUUGAAACUCAAAGGAAUUGACGGGGGCUCACACAAGCGGUGGAGCAUGUUGCUUAAUUCGAAGCCACGCGAAGAACCUUACCCGGAUUUGACAUCUACGGAUUAGCUAUAUGAAAAUAUGGUGACGCCUUACCGGUGGAACGUAGACAGGCGUUGCACGGCUGUCGUCAGCUCGUGCCGUGAGGUGUCGCGGUUAAGUCCAUUAACGAGCGAAACCCCUAUCC
rnacentral:rRNA from 1 species